rnacentral:rRNA from 1 species
CCUACGGGGGCAGCAGUAGGGAAUCUUCCGCAAUGGACGAAAGUCUGACGGAGCAACGCCGCGUGAGUGAUGAAGGUUUUCGGAUCGUUAAAACUCUGUUGUUAGGAAGAACAAGUAUGAUAGUAACUGAUCGUACCUUGACGGUACCUAACCAGAAA